UCCCUGACGGUCCAGUGGCCAAGACUCUGCGCUUUCCAAGCAGGGGCCUGGGUUCGAUCCCUGUCAGGGAA
rnacentral:tRNA from 1 species